UUUGAGCUCAAUGCCAUGACUGAGGAAGACCACGGGGUUUUCUCUCUUAGAGGGGAGUGAACCCAGAGCUUUGAGUUGAGAUGGGGGUGCCAUAAGAUUGAAGUACUCUGAAAAACAGAGCUUAAAGGCUUUUAACAGGGCUCAGUAAACACUUAAGGAAGUUGCCGUGCACUGCAGCCUGCCGGAGACAUGAAGGAAUGUACGGGAGGAUAAUCGCAACAUCAUCAACCCAAUUCUCCAAGUAAUUUGCCAUGGGACAGGCACACCCCAUGUGUUUGGGAAGACAAUGGGAAGGUUCUGUUUUCUGCUCCAAGACUGAUUCAACCAGUUGGAUCUGGAAGGGGAUAAAGGGCUGUGUGGCUGCUUGAUUUUCAUUGUCUAGUGGCAGCCAAAAUUGGAAAAGAGAGAAGUGCAGACUUUAAAGACAAGCAGCGACAGCUCAUCAGCAGUCUAACAACACGACAGAUGACAGGCCCAGAGGCACACCCAGGGCCGCCAGCCCAUCACCCUGUGCAGGAUGUCAAAGAGCAGCUGCAGCAAAGGAAGAAGAUCAUCCAGACUUAAAUGUUUGGGCCUUGCUAAGACCAUAGAGUCUUUGUGCUUUGGAAACAGUCCUCCAUACAAAGACCCCUUCCUAGAAAAGAGUGGAAAGAAACCAAGGUGGAAUGGAUACAACAGAAAGGAGACCAUGCUAAUAUUCUUGUGCAAUGCUUCCUGGGCAGAAAUUAUGUCAUAAAGGAUGUUCCAUUCUGCAAAGCUAUGUGUCUCUCUGUGGUUUGCCUCAGAGGAGGGGCCUUUCAUAGCUGUAGUGAGUAAGGGGGCCCUUGCUGAUGUUCAUCAGAUAUGCCAAGGCACAGGAAGAAAGCAUUGAGGUCACAGGGCAGCUCAGGUCCGCCUGUGGUAAUUGAAAACAGGUGACGAGAUUGGGUUGAUUUUAUUUUGGAAAAGUAAAUUAGUGCUGCACCACUCGGACAUGGCUAAUUCAUGAAGCCUCUGGUUUGUAUUAGACACCCAACAUGCCUUUCAGAAAGAAAUGACACAACAAUUAAUGUGUCAAAUAAUAAUGUGCCACUCGGAGAAAGAUAAUUGUACCCAUCGUCAGGUAGUUAUUAGGUCGAACGAAUGCUCAUCCUUUCAAAGGCAACAGCGUCUAUUCAUUCUGGCAUCCUACUGUAAGUACAGUAUUGUGUUCAUAAUCACACAGACUGAAGCCAGGAACACUGGGUUUUAUCUGAUUUUUCUCCAUUUGGAAUUGUACUCCGAUGAUUCCCUAAACAGCAAACUCAGUCAUGUGAAACACAAAUGAGUGUGAUGAAAGACAGAUUGUUAUACUGCAGGAGAGGCUUUCUGUGCUUUUCACAUAAUAUAGAGCAUGAGGACUGUUCCCAAGAAGGUUUAAGCAUAUGUAACAAAAACUACCAGACCUGAAUUUGCUCAUGUGUAAAUGAUAGUCUUUCCUUCUGGUGAUUUAAUGCAUGAGGACAUCAAUCAGUCACAUCAUGGCCUCAGAAGUCCUUGUUCAAUUUCUGAUGCCAUAACUUACUCGAUGUGGGAUUUGGACAAGUCAUUUAACUUCACUGCAAUUCUGUUUCCCUCAUUUGAAAAAUAGAAAUAGAAAAGCCUGCUGUAUAUUUAGGUCCACAUCUGUUGGGGAGGUCAAAGAAGAAAGAAUAUGAAAAGUUGUUUGUAAAUAUAAAGAACCAUGUAAAUAUAAGACAUUGUUUUAUUAAUGCUCCAGAUCAAUUAACUUUCAGUGAAUGAUAAAAUGUGACAUCUUUUCAACAGAGACAGUUUUACUUAAGAAAAACUAGGCAAUGGCUUCUGUCCUUACAAAUGAAAAACUUCAUAAUAAAUGGGGGCUCUCAAGACCACCUGGCCAAAACUGAACUAAAUACUCACUUCAUUCAACCAAGAAUGAGGAACUGAAAUACAUGAUUAUUAUAUAUGCAUAUGCUUCUGUUUCAUCUACUUGGGCAUGCUUGUGAUGAGAUAUGAAAAAUUAGCCAUCUUUAGAAGGAAAGAAAUAUUGUAUUUGGGGGUAUUUCUUCUGUACAGACAAUUGGCCUGGUUAUUGUCUAAAGGUAUUUAAAAUUAAUAAAAUGCAAUUUUAUGCUACAUAAAAU
rnacentral:lncRNA from 1 species